rnacentral:rRNA from 1 species
GAUGAACGCUGGCGGCGUGCCUAAUACAUGCCAGUCGAGCGAACAGAUGAGGAGCUUGCUCCUCUGACGUUAGCGGCGGACGGGUGAGUAACACGUGGAUAACCGACCUAUAAGACUGGGAUAACGUCGGGAAACCGGAGCUAAUACCGGAUAAUAUAUUGAACCGCAUGGUUCUAUAGUGAAAGACGGUUUUGCUGUCACUUAUAGAUGGAUCCGCGCCGCAUUAGCUAGUUGGUAAGGUAACGGCUUACCAAGGCAACGAUGCGUAGCCGACCUGAGAGGGUGAUCGGCCACACUGGAACUGAGACACGGUCCAGACUCCUACGGGAGGCAGCAGUAGGGAAUCUUCCGCAAUGGGCGAAAGCCUGACGGAGCAACGCCGCGUGAGUGAUGAAGGUCUUCGGAUCGUAAAACUCUGUUAGUAGGGAAGAACAAAUGUGUAAGUAACUAUGCACGUCUUGACGGUACCUAAUCAGAAAGCCACGGCUAACUACGUG